AUUGAACGCUGGCGGCAUGCCUUACACAUGCAAGUCGAACGGCAGCGCGGGCUUCGGCCUGGCGGCGAGUGGCGAACGGGUGAGUAAUAUAUCGGAACGUACCCAGGAGUGGGGGAUAACGUAGCGAAAGUUACGCUAAUACCGCAUACGUCCUAAGGGAGAAAGCAGGGGAUCGCAAGACCUUGUGCUCAUGGAGCGGCCGAUAUCUGAUUAGCUAGUUGGUGGGGUAAAAGCCUACCAAGGCAACGAUCAGUAGCUGGUCUGAGAGGACGACCAGCCACACUGGAACUGAGACACGGUCCAGACUCCUACGGGAGGCAGCAGUGGGGAAUUUUGGACAAUGGGGGCAACCCUGAUCCAGCAAUGCCGCGUGAGUGAAGAAGGCCCUCGGGUUGUAAAGCUCUUUUGUCAGGGGAAGAAAAGGCUGUGGCUAAAUAUCCACGGCUCAUGACGGUACCUGAAGAAUAAGCACCGGCUAAACUACGUGCCAGCAGCCGCGGU
rnacentral:rRNA from 1 species